UACGGAGGGUACAAGCGUUAUCCGGAUUCACUGGGUUUAAAGGGUGCGUAGGCGGGCAGGUAAGUCAGUGGUGAAAUCUCCGGGCUCAACCCGGAAACUGCCGUUGAUACUAUUUGUCUUGAAUGCCGUGGAGGUAAGCGGAAUAUGUCAUGUAGCGGUGAAAUGCUUAGAUAUGACAUAGAACACCAAUUGCGAAGGCAGCUUGCUACACGGUUAUUGACGCUGAUGCACGAAAGCGUGGGGAUCAAACAGG
rnacentral:rRNA from 1 species